rnacentral:rRNA from 1 species
AAUCCAUAGGUUAAUGAGGCGAACCGGGGGAACUGAAACAUCUAAGUACCCCGAGGAAAAGAAAUCAACCGAGAUUCCCCCAGUAGCGGCGAGCGAACGGGGAGGAGCCCAGAGCCUGAAUCAGCAUGUGUGUUAGUGGAAGCGUCUGGAAAGGCGCGCGAUACAGGGUGACAGCCCCGUACACAAAAGCGCAUGUGCUGUGAGCUCGAUGAGUAGGGCGGGACACGUGGUAUCCUGUCUGAAUAUGGGGGGACCAUCCUCCAAGGCUAAAUACUCCUGACUGACCGAUAGUGAACCAGUACCGUGAGGGAAAGGCGAAAAGAACCCCGGCGAGGGGAGUGAAAAAGAACCUGAAACCGUGUACGUACAAGCAGUGGGAGCACCCUUCGGGGUGUGACUGCGUACCUUUUGUAUAAUGGGUCAGCGACUUAUAUUCUGUAGCAAGGUUAACCGUAUAGGGGAGCCGGAGGGAAACCGAGUCUUAACCGGGCGUUAAGUUGCAGGGUAUAGACCCGAAACCCGGUGAUCUAGCCAUGGGCAGGUUGAAGGUUGGGUAACACUAACUGGAGGACCGAACCGACUAAUGUUGAAAAAUUAGCGGAUGACCUGUGGCUGGGGGUGAAAGGCCAAUCAAACCGGGAGAUAGCUGGUUCUCCCCGAAAGCUAUUUAGGUAGCGCCUCGUGAAUUCAUCUCCGGGGGUAGAGCACUGUUUCGGCUAGGGGGCCAUCCCGGCUUACCAACCCGAUGCAAACUGCGAAUACCGGAGAAUGUUAUCACGGGAGACACACGGCGGGUGCUAACGUCCGUCGUGAAGAGGGAAACAACCCAGACCGCCAGCUAAGGUCCCAAAGUCAUGGUUAAGUGGGAAACGAUGUGGGAAGGCCCAGACAGCCAGGAUGUUGGCUUAGAAGCAGCCAUCAUUUAAAGAAAGCGUAAUAGCUCACUGGUCGAGUCGGCCUGCGCGGAAGAUGUAACGGGGCUAAACCAUGCACCGAAGCUGCGGCAGCG